CUCACCUGUUCUUUCUGAGACAAAUCAUCUGCCAGGUUUCCGCCUCGGGACACCCAAGCUCAGCACAGACAGCCUAGCAGCCUGGGUGACAGGAUCCCAGGGGACAGGAUUCUCUCCUUGCCAUGGGGAUGAGGACAAAUUCUCCCUUCAUCCUUGAGAUUGGACUCCCGCCACACAUCCUGGAGGAGCCUACAGAGAAGCCGGCAGGUCUCCCUCACCUGGAUGGUGCCAGCGGGUGGCCUGGACCACCCAGAGGCCCUCUCCUGCACCUGACAGGAAGCCCCUGGGGCAUACGUCUCCCCUGCCACUUCCACUGUGGCCACUGGAAGUGUGGCAGAGAAAAUAGCUAGGACAAAAAGAAGUCAAUGAUUUCAACCAACGGAAUUUCUUUGUCCUUUGUAAAAAUCAACACAUGAUCUGUUACUGAUUGGGAUGUGAAAUAAAACUAAAAAUAACAGCACACUGAGCCUGGCUCAGGGCUCAGCUCACCUUUA
rnacentral:lncRNA from 1 species